GAACCAAUGAAAAUUAUCAGUACAGAUAUUACUGUCCGUCGUUAUAUUGUACAGCAUCAGUUUUAAAUGAAAGUUUUGACAUUUAGAUGUAUGCAAAAUCACCAAAAUUACCCAUGUUAUAUGAGUGUGUGCGUGCGCGCGCGCGCACCACAGCACACUUGUAGAGAUCAGAAGACAAGUUGUGGAAGUCGGUUCUCUUCUUCAGCCAUGUAUCAAGAAUGGUGACCACCGAGCAUCAAAGACCAGUUAAGAGAAGAACCCUCUGGCCUGCAUGGUGGAAGCCAUCAGGAUUCUCACUCCCUCAGGCCACACCUCUAUUCCACGGUCCUAUUGCUGCAUUUUCCAGCUGCAUUCUGGGAAAGCCCUGCUGCUGUAAUCUGGGGCUUUACCUGACCCGGUUGUCCAGUCCCUCAUCCCCAGCCUCCUGCCUGCCUCAGGGAAGCCCCAAGAGAGAGCAACAGCAGCACUCAGGGUCUGCAGUGAGGUGGAAGUCCCUGGCUGUGUCAUGCGAUGCAGACUCACGUGGUGUUUUGCUGAGUUCUGCAGAGACCUGGCUGUUUCUGCUGGAUCGCACAACCACUGUUGAUUCCUGUUCGGUAUCCUGACACUACUGAAGUGGACUCCUGGUCUCCUGGCAAAUGAAGAUGAGAACUGGCCCAAAGAACUACUUCUAAACAGGCCCACAUCCCCUCGUCCUAUUUACCAUCUUUUCUCCCCUGCCUUUGGUUGGUGGACUAGAAGGGUGGUUGAAGCAUUUAAGAACCCUUAUUAAAGUAGAUUUUGAAGACUCUAAGCCUGCACUCCCCACUUUAUUUACUGAGGUAGAAUCUCCUAGUUGAACCCAAAGCUCACCUAUGCAGCUAGUCUAGCUGACCAUCUAGCUUGACCAUCUGCUGUCCCUGCCUUCUGGGAGAUGGAACUGCAGGCUUGUCACCACCAUCACGCAGCGUGUACAGGAGUUCUGGAGAUCCCCGGUCCACUCCACACACUUGUGUAACAACUGCUCCACCCACUGAGCCAUCUCCUCAACAACAACAACAAAAAAAUCCAAGUUUGAAAGUUUUCAGAGCUCUUCACAGUGUGUGUGUGUGUGUGUGUGUGUGUGUGUGUGUGUGUGUGUGUGUGUACAAGCACACACCAUGACUAAAGCUGAACACUUAAAUAUUCUUGGAACUUAUGACACUCACUUGUCACCUUUGGGUUUAUUAUGAGAUUUGUGCUGUUACUCAGAAAGUAUCUUUGCUUUGAAUCAAUGUUGGGAAAAUGAGACACAGAUUCCAAACAAUUUUAUUUUUCAACAGCGGCUUAGCUGUGAACUUAAGAGCUGUGUGCAGAAACAAAUAGAGAAGCCUGGCCUGGAGCCAGGAGCCAGAAGCCAGGGCCCAUCAAACUCAGGUUCCACGCAUCAGUUUUACAGCCCUGAUCAAAGAGAUCUCAGUGUUCCAAGGAUCAAACCAAGGGCCUCACGUACACCCACACACAACCAUUGGGCUACAGCCCAGCCACAUAUUUCUGUUGCAAAGUCAGUCCACUUGUGUUCUCCUUGAGUGCUUCCUCUUCUGUUUUGUCUAGAGUCAGGGGGUGUUGGCCUCGUGAUGCCAACAUGAUCGGUAGCUCUUCCCUCCUUCUCUUCAGCAGCUCGGUACAGACAGUGUCUAUUUGUGUACCCUCUUAGACUCCUGACUUUCAAGUGUACCGAGCACUCACUGACAUGUCAUCUCAGCUCUGGCUGCAGGACCCUCGUGACACUGACUCCUUUUUCCUAAGGAUUUCACUCCUUCGUGUGAACCUCCAUGAGCGCCUGGCAUUUUUGUUCACUGGGCAGACAUUUACUUUGAGCCUUUAGCACAGGGUAGAAUCUGCAGGGGUUUUAAUGGGUGCGGGGGUGUUUGGUGGUUGUUGUUGUUUUCCCAAAUGGGAAUGAAUACAAGAGAACAAAAAGAGGGGGGAGUCACAGCA